rnacentral:rRNA from 1 species
UACAGAGGGUGCAAGCGUUAAUCGGAAUUACUGGGCGUAAAGCGUGCGUAGGCGGCUUUUCAAGUCGGGUGUGAAAGCCCCGGGCUCAACCUGGGAAUUGCAUUCGAUACUGGAUGGCUAGAGUUCGGCAGAGGGAAGUGGAAUUUCCGGUGUAGCGGUGAAAUGCGUAGAUAUCGGAAGGAACAUCAGUGGCGAAAGCGACUUCCUGGACCAAUACUGACGCUCAUGUGCGAAAGCGUGGGGAGCAAACAGG